GGGGGGUUUAGGGGCGGUACGGGCACGGACGGGCGAGCGCAUGGCUUGGACAUUACCGAGUUUCAACUCCCAAACCCAAUGUGAACGUUACCAAACUGUUGCCUCGGCGGGAUCUCUGCCCCGGGUGCGUCGCAGCCCCGGACCAAGGCGCCCGCCGGAGGACCAACCAAAACUCUUUUUGUAUACCCCCUCGCGGGUUUUUAUAAUCUGAGCCUUCUCGGCGCCUCUCGUAGGCGUUUCGAAAAUGAAUCAAAACUUUCAACAACGGAUCUCUUGGUUCUGGCAUCGAUGAAGAACGCAGCGAAAUGCGAUAAGUAAUGUGAAUUGCAGAAUUCAGUGAAUCAUCGAAUCUUUGAACGCACAUUGCGCCCGCCAGUAUUCUGGCGGGCAUGCCUGUCCGAGCGUCAUUUCAACCCUCGAACCCCUCCGGGGGGUCGGCGUUGGGGAUCGGCCCUCCCUUAGCGGGUGGCCGUCUCCGAAAUACAGUGGCGGUCUCGCCGCACCCUCUCCUGCGCAGUAUUUUGCACACUCACAUCGGGAGCGCGGCGCGUCCACAGCCGUUAAACACCCAAUUUCUAAAAUGUUCACCUCAGAUCAGGUAAGAAUCCCCGCUAAAUCUUAAUCAUCUCAAUAGAGCGGAUGAAAAAACACCAAGGGGUGUUCCACGAUAAGGGAGGGGGU
rnacentral:sRNA from 1 species